rnacentral:rRNA from 1 species
UGGUGGAGUGAUUUGUCUGGUUAAUUCCGUUAACGAACGAGACCUCAGCCUGCUAACUAGCUUUGGUCAUCUUCGGAUGGCUUCUAGAGCUUCUUAGAGGGACUAUCGGUUUCCAGCCGAUGGAAGUUUGAGGCAAUAACA